rnacentral:rRNA from 1 species
AUUGAACGCUGGCGGCAGGCUUAACACAUGCAAGUCGAACGAGUGGCGGACGGGUGAGUAAUGUCUGGGAAACUGGCUGAUGGAGGGGGAUAACUACGGGAAACGGUAGCUAAUACCGCAUACCAUAGGAUGAGCCCAGGUGGGAUUAGGUAGUUGGUGGGGUAACGGCUCACCAAGGCGACGAUCUCUAGCUGGUCUGAGAGGAUGACCAGCCACACUGGGACUGAGACACGGCCCAGACUCCUACGGGAGGCAGCAGUGGGGAAUAUUGCGCAAUGGGCGCAACCCUGACGCAGCCAUGCCGCGUGAAUGAAGAAGGCCUUCGGGUUGUAAAGUUCUUUCGGUAGCGAGGCGUUACCUACAGAAGAAGCACCGGCUAACUCCGUGCCAGCAGCCGCGGUAAUUC